rnacentral:rRNA from 1 species
UGAAGGUAAGGUAAUACUUACUGGAGGUCCGAACCCACGCACGUUGAAAAGUGCGGGGAUGAGGUGUGGGUAGCGGAGAAAUUCCAAUCGAACUUGGAGAUAGCUGGUUCUCUCCGAAAUAGCUUUAGGGCUAGCCUCGAGGUAAAGAGUCAUGGAGGUAGAGCACUGUUUGGACUAGGGGCCCUUCUCGGGUUACCGAAUUCAGAUAAACUCCGAAUGCCAUGUACUUAUACUCGGGAGUCAGACUGCGAGUGAUAAGAUCCGUAGUCGAAAGGGAAACAGCCCAGACCACCAGUUAAGGUCCCCAAAUAUAUGUUAAGUGGAAAAGGAUGUGGGGUUGCUUAGACAACCAGGAUGUUGGCUUAGAAGCAGCCACCAUUGAAAGAGUGCGUAAUAGCUCACUGGUCGAGUGACCCCGCGCCGAAAAUGUACCGGGGCUAAACAUAUUACCGAAACUGUGGAUGAACCUCUUUAGAGGUUCGUGGUAGGAGAGCGUUCUAAGGGCGGUGAAGUCAGACCGGAAGGACUGGUGGAGCGCUUAGAAGUGAGAAUGCCGGUAUGAGUAGCGAAAGAAGGGUGAGAAUCCCUUCCACCGAAUAUCUAAGGUUUCCUGAGGAAGGCUCGUCCGCUCAGGGUUAGUCGGGACCUAAGCCGAGGCCGAUAGGCGUAGGCGAUGGACAACAGGUAGAGAUUCCUGUACCAGUGCUAAUUGUUUAACCGAUGGGGUGACACAGAAGGAUAGGGAAUCGCACGAAUGGAAAUGUGCGUCCAAGCAGUGAGUGUGAGAAGUAGGCAAAUCCGCUUCUCGCGAAGCAUGAGCUGUGAUGGGGAAGGAAAUUAAGUACGGAAGUUCCUGAUUUCACGCUGUCAAGAAAAGCCUCUAGGAAGAGUAGUACUGCCCGUACCGCAAACCGACACAGGUAGAUGAGGAGAGAAUCCUAAGGUGAGCGAGAGAACUCUCGUUAAGGAACUCGGCAAAAUGACCCCGUAACUUCGGGAGAAGGGGUGCUCUAUUAGGGUGCAAGCCCGAGAGAGCCGCAGUGAAUAGGCCCAGGCGACUGUUUAGCAAAAACACAGGUCUCUGCAAAACCGUAAGGUGACGUAUAGGGGCUGACGCCUGCCCGGUGCUGGAAGGUUAAGAGGAGUGCUUAGCUUCGGCGAAGGUACGAAUUGAAGCCCCAGUAAACGGCGGCCGUAACUAUAACGGUCCUAAGGUAGCGAAAUUCCUUGUCGGGUAAGUUCCGACCCGCACGAAAGGCGCAACGAUCUGGGCACUGUCUCAACGAGAGACUCGGUGAAAUUAUAGUACCUGUGAAGAUGCAGGUUACCCGCGACAGGACGGAAAGACCCCGUGGAGCUUUACUGCAACCUGAUAUGGAAUGUUUGUACCGCUUGUACAGGAUAGGUAGGAGCCGAAGAGACGUGUGCGCUAGCAUACGAGGAGGCAAUGGUGGGAUACUACCCUGGCUGUAUGACCAUUCUAACCCGCCACGCUUAGCGCGUGGGGAGACAGUGUCAGGUGGGCAGUUUGACUGGGGCGGUCGCCUCCUAAAGAGUAACGGAGGCGCCCAAAGGUUCCCUCAGAAUGGAUGGAAAUCAUUCGCAGAGUGUAAAGGCACAAGGGAGCUUGACUGCGAGACUGACAAGUCGAGCAGGGACGAAAGUCGGGCUUAGUGAUCCGGUGGUUCCGCAUGGAAGGGCCAUCGCUCAACGGAUAAAAGCUACCCCGGGGAUAACAGGCUUAUCUCCCCCAAGAGUCCACAUCGACGGGGAGGUUUGGCACCUCGAUGUCGGCUCGUCGCAUCCUGGGGCUGUAGUCGGUCCCAAGGGUUGGGCUGUUCGCCCAUUAAAGCGGCACGCGAGCUGGGUUCAGAACGUCGUGAGACAGUUCGGUCCCUAUCCGUCGCGGGCGCAGGAAAUUUGAGAGGAGCUGUCCUUAGUACGAGAGGACCGGGAUGGACACACCGCUGGUGUACCAGUUGUUCCGCCAGGAGCAUCGCUGGGUAGCUAUGUGUGGCAGGGAUAAACGCUGAAAGCAUCUAAGCGUGAAGCCCCCCUCAAGAUGAGAUUUCCCAUUUCUUCGGAAAGUAAGAUCCCUGAAAGAUGAUCAGGUAGAUAGGUUUGGAGUGGAAGUGUAGCGAUACAUGGAGCGGACAAAUACUAAUCGAUCGAGGACUUAACCAAAA